rnacentral:rRNA from 1 species
ACAGCAGUCGCCGCGGUAAUACGUAGGUCCCGAGCGUUGUCCGGAUUUAUUGGGCGUAAAGCGAGCGCAGGCGGUUAGAUAAGUCUGAAGUUAAAGGCUGUGGCUUAACCAUAGUACGCUUUGGAAACUGUUUAACUUGAGUGCAGAAGGGGAGAGUGGAAUUCCAUGCGUAGCGGUGAAAUGCGUAGAUAUAUGGAGGAACACCGGUGGCGAAAGCGGCUCUCUGGUCUGUAACUGACGCUGAGGCUCGAAAGCGUGGGGAGCAAACAGGAUUAGAUACCCCCGUAGUCCCUGUCUCUUAUACC